AAAAUAUUGUUUUUCAGUUGUUAAAAAUUAGAAGAUACAACUUUGCUUGCAUUUAAGGCGCUCCCUUUUCUUCUGAUAGCACCUCCACAGAAGGGCAAGAAGAGUCCAAGAAUGGAUCUUGAUGCAAUUUUGGCUUUAUUUUAUAGAGAAAUGGAUGUACACCUCAGUCUUGAAAGCUCCCAUGAAUUAUUGAAGAAGGAGAAAGUUUUUCAACUGAUUUUAUUCAAAUGUUGCGGCACUCUAUUUAUAAUUCUAAUUAUAACUCUAAUUAUAAGUCGAUAAUACAGCUAUACGGCUGGAAGUCAUACCGAGUAUUAGAUUUGCUUUUGAGUUGCUGCUAGUCUCUUAUUAUGUAUUUAAUGUCAAAAUCCCUCAUGAACUUAUUUGUGUAUAUGGAUUUAUGGGAAAUUUGCUUGGAAUAAACAGCAAAAGAAUUAUCGUCAAUUCCUUUUAAAGAAAGUAUUGCCAAAAGUUUAAG
rnacentral:lncRNA from 1 species